rnacentral:piRNA from 1 species
UCCUCAUCAGUGUACUGACAUUAGAGGCUGU